AAACUAAAGUGCUUCAAGCUACAAGAGAGGUGUGACUUAACUAGAAGAGAUUAUCACUUGAUACUCAAACAUGAAGUUCCAUCUCUCUCUAUUUGUUAUAAUAGGUAUUAUUUUUGGAAUAAAACUUGAAGGGUGCCAAUGCAAGAUUGUGCAGUUCAUUUUUGGAGACUCCCUCUCAGAUGUUGGAAAUAACAAGUACCUUUCUAAAAGUCUUGCCCAGGCAAGUUUACCAUGGUAUGGUAUUGAUUUCGGCAAUGGACUACCUAAUGGUAGGUUCUCCAAUGGUCGUACGGUUGCAGAUAUAAUAGGUGACAACAUGGGACUUCCUAGGCCCCCGGCAUUUCUUGAUCCAUCUUUAACUGAAGAUGUUAUAUUGGAAAAUGGGGUGAAUUAUGCUUCUGGGGGUGGCGGCAUAUUGAAUGAAACUGGCAGUUAUUUUAUUCAAAGGUUCUCUCUGUACAAACAAAUUGAGCUGUUUCAGGGGACACAGGAACUGAUCAGAAGCAGAGUUGGAAAAGAUAAGGCAGAAAAGUUUUUCCAGGGAGCUCGUUAUGUUGUUGCUUUAGGCAGCAAUGACUUCAUCAACAACUAUUUGAUGCCUGUUUACAGUGAUUCAUGGACAUACAAUGACGAAACAUUUGUGAACUACUUGAUGGGAACUCUUAGAGAACAAUUAAAGCUACUUCAUGGGCUUGGAGCCAGGCAGUUGAUGGUGUUUGGGCUGGGCCCAAUGGGCUGCAUUCCCCUUCAAAGAGUGCUUAGUGCAUCUGGAGACUGUCAAGACAGAACAAACAAGUUGGCUAUCAGGUUUAACCAAGCUGGAAGCAAGUUAAUAGAUGAGUUACAAAAGCAACUUCCCAAUUCAAGCUACAGAUUUGGAGAUGCAUAUGAUGUUGUUAAUGAUGUUAUUAGCAACCCAAACAAAUAUGGAUUCCAAAACUCAGACUCACCCUGUUGCUCCUUCGGGAACAUUCGACCAGCUCUUACGUGUAUUCCUGCAUCAAAACUGUGCAAAGACAGAAGCAAGUACGUUUUCUGGGAUGAGUACCAUCCUUCAGAUAGAGCCAAUGAGCUAAUUGCGAAUGAGCUGAUCAAGAAAUUUGGGUUUAUGCGUGCUGACCAAACAAAUCCUCCUUCACCAUCACCUGCUAUUGCCCCGUCUUCAAACCAUUAAUCAUGGAUAUGAAGGUUUUGUUGUUGUUUUCAAACUUGGAAGUUCUUUUAUGGUUGAUGGUAGAUGAAGAAGAUAAGGUUUAUGGAAGAUGAAGAAGAAAGUGGUUGAUGAAGAGAACGAGUGUUUGAAGCUAGAGAAGAUGAAGAAGAGCAAAGCGUAUUCAAUUCCAAGGAACAUUUAUUUGGUUCUAGCCCCAUGAAGAACAACAAAGGCAAGUUGUAUUUGGUUUCAAGGAACUCGUAUUCGGUUCCAACCCCAUGAAGAACAAGAAAGGCAAGGUGUAUUCGAUUCCCAUUGCCUGGUAUUCGAUUCCACGCAUAUGAAGAACUCCUGCUCCUACGCGAACUGGAACUGAAAACAGAGAGUAAUUAAUUGGAGGACGAAUUAUGGUGGAAUGGUAGGAAUAAAAGAAAACUCACCUUGUGAGAAACCUCUUCGGUGCAACGUUGACGAUUGACAUGGGUUUGAGUUUGUUCGGCGAUCCACUUGCGACGUUGGUUGGGAUAAGAGAGAGGAUGCCAUGACUUCUGUUUGAGAUAGAAGUGGCUCCAAGCAGUGCUAGAUUUGGUCUUGUAAUCAACUUCUCCGUUCGCGAUCCGCUUGCUCAACCUUAUGCCUCCUCCUUCUUCCCCCUUCAUCACAUAUAGAUUCUCGAUUCUUCUUCACCUUUGAUGAAUGAAAAAUAUUGUAAAA